rnacentral:misc_RNA from 1 species
CAAGUAAUGUUGCAUCAGGUA